UUUUUUUUUUUUUUUUUGUUUAUUAAAUUAGUAGAGAAGCUUCAAAUCCGUGAAACAGAUUUGUAGGAAGCUGAGAUUUUGAAAGUUUUGAUCGAUCAGUUUCGAUAAGAGUAGCUUGAAUUCUGUAAAUUUAUAGUCAACUAUUUUGUUUGCUUUCUUUUACUUGUUGAGUGAUGGAAGAGGAGAAUCAGAGCAAUAAAAGCAGCAGAAUAAGUUGCAGUAGCGGCAUGUCCGACGUAGUUUUGGGUUGCGUGAUGCCGUAUAUCCAUGACCCACGGGACCGCGACGCCGUUUCACUCGUUUGCCGCCGCUGGUAUGAGCUUGAUGCCCUGACACGAAAGCAUAUAACCAUAGCUUUAUGCUAUACGACGAGCCCAGAUCGGCUUCGACGUCGCUUCAAGCACCUCGAA
rnacentral:misc_RNA from 1 species